UUUCUUUUUUAAAGAACUGAAAAGCUCUGACAUUGAGUCACUAUAAAAAUCUCUCCAUAUAUAUCCAAUUCUUACUUAGACGGAGACUAAGUAGACCACCCGUUUAACUUGCCCCAUUAUUAGGAGCAUAACUAUCAAUACAAAAUGAAAAAAAAAAAAAAAUGAUUGAACUGCAGUAUCGCAUAAAAGCCCAAAAGGAAUAAAGAUAUACAAAGAGCAGCUACCCAGCCCCAAAAACGCAAACCAAAUCCUCCUCAGAAAUUAAAACAAAAUAAUAAUAAUAAUAAAUUGAAACUCAUCAAAUCGAACUCACUAAUUAUCUUGGGAAACCUAAGACAAAAACAAGCAACCAUCGCUACAAUACAUUGGCUUCACCGCUACUAGGGCUUCAAUCCACAAUCUCCGGAUCUAAAGAAGUGGCGACCAAUUCAGACUCAAAAGAGCGAAUGUCAAAGACCCAAAAUGCAAAGACAUCCAUGCUGGCCUAAAUGACUCUAGGUUAGAAACAGUGAGUCUCACAGCUCUAAAGGUGAUGUAGCAGAGCUCACAACAUCCCUAAUAUUUUGGGAUGGGCAGAUCAUCGAACAUAGCAGUGACAAUCUUGAAUUGUAUUUAUCACAUGAAAGGUCUCCGAUUGAGCAGAGAGUUCCAAGGAAACUGAGCUAAUAUUUCCAUCAGCAUUGAAGCAUCUCGAUCUGAAAGCGACAAACACCAAAACUCAACACAAUUGCACCAACAGAACAAGAUAAAAAAAAAACACCAUUGGAGAACAAGAAGUUCUCCAAUAAAAAAAAUUAGUAUUUAAAAUUUUUUGUUAAGUGUUUUAACUGAAUUACCAUAUAAAUAACCAUAAUUUAACUGAAUUUUUAUCAUGGUCUUAUAAUUUUUUUUGAUAGUGAAAUAUUACACUCGGCAAGUCUUUUUUUUUUUUUUUUUAAAUAGUGGCUAAUGCAAUAGAAGCGCACAAAUCUUCAUCUCCAUAUCAAAAUGAAAAACCAUACAUUUCUGUCCUCCCAAUAAACGGAAUUAAACCUGCAUGUCAACAAUAGGAUCCUUCUUUUGUUCUGUUAAGUUGUUUUAUUUAAAAUUAUCAAUUAUCCUUAAAAAAAAAUUUCUUUUUCCUGAUUUUAAUGCAUCUAUGACUAUUUUCAAAAUUCCUUAACAUCUAUCUAAUCACUUCUCUUUCUCUUUUAGUUAUCCCAUGCUUUUAGUGGUGGAUCAAUAAAGAAAACUAUUGAAAUGAAAUAAUUAGAUAAAAUAAAGGGUAAAUUUAAUUUAAUUAAAUAUUGUCUUAUUAUUACUUGGGUGAUAUUUUUACUUCCUUGAUCACCAUGAAAAACCUUGAACAAAUGAAGAAAAUAUAAAACAAAUCGAAGUACUGGACACUGAAUAAUGUUUGAUGAAUUAAUCCUCUGUAAAUAAUACUCCCUCUAAAUCAUAAGAAAUAGAUUUUAUAGUUAUUUUCAUAUUAAUUAAAAAAUAUAAUCUUUUAAACAAAAAAUUAAAAAAAUAAUAAUUAAUAUAAUUAAAAAGAAUAAACUUCAUAAUAUUUUUUUAAAUGUAUCCCUAUUAUAUUGUUUCGAAUGCAUAUUAGACAAAGAUAUAUUCCACCUGUUUCAACAAGACACAACCCCCUUGAUCUUCCUUAUGAUUCAUAUUGAUAUUCCUUGUGAUUCAAAUGAGGAAAAGCCUGACCUUAAAGUUGAUAGUUUUCAGCAAGAAUUCUCAAAAUUUAGCAUAGGGAACCAGUCUUCGAAGACAUGAAAGUUUUCAGCAUGGGACCAUCAAUUUUGGGAGCUCCCAAAGAGACAAUAUCUUCAGUGGAAGCCAUAUUUUGUGCCUCAAAGAUUUUGUCACAAACUGUCAAACCUUCCAACGGCAAUUGAGUGUAGUUAGCGAGUCGAAGUUGAGACUCAAUUCCAGAUACUGAAUCAGUGAGUUUAGCUUUGGAAGAGGAGGAGGACAAGAAGCCCAAUGAAGAAGAUUUUUCUCAAGAAAUUGAAAUGCUGUCUAAUUGGGAUUAUGUUUCUGUCCUUAUUGGUUAUACAACUUUUAUUUAUUUCUUUUUAUGUAAGGGCAUAAUAAUCAUUUUCCUAGCAAUUAACAGCAAUAUAACCGAAUAGGAGAACCUAUUUACUGCAUUAAAUCAAAAUUUCAUGACUAAUUUAUUACUAAAACUUUAAUAAGGGAUUAAUAUGUGAAUUAAAUUAUAUCUCAGGGACUUGCAUGUAAAUUAUCUAAAAGUAAAGUAAGACUAAUUGAAAAGAAAAAAGUAUGCUCAUCUUAUUGCGGGUGAUAUAUAUAGAACAAAAAUGAAUGAUUUGGAAGCUGAUGAAAACACGACAUUAAUUAAUUUCAUGGGUUAUCCAAAGAAGUGAUGGAAAAAGGGUCCCAAGUAAGAAAAUCUUAGUAAGAAAAAGGUCUGAACACAAGGACAUCUUUAUUCUAAGCACUCAACAACCACCAUCUGCAAAGGAGAUUGCAGAUGAAAAGUAAUGAAGGAAACCCUUUUUUUCAAAGUCGGAUAUAAUGCAGAAAACAACUUCUGGGUGGGGAUUACCAUGCCAUGAAGACAUCAUUUUGGUAGCUCAUUCACAUGAGAAAGAAAAAGGCAAACAUAAUAAGAAUGGAGUUGUAAUAUUUUAAUGCUUAGAUUUAAUCAUUGAAGAGUAGCAGUUCAAAGAAUGAACAUGUGUUAAUCAUGAAAAACCAGAAUAGCAUUUUCUCUAAGUACAACAUCUAUGGUCCACCUAAUUAUCACCCUCCAAAAUCUACGUGACAUCAUUUUCUUCAUUUAAACCUUCAACGAGUUGGUGUUUAUAGAAUCGAGUAUAAAAGUUAUAUUUAAAUUAAUAUUUUAAUCAUUUCCACGGCAAGACGAAGAACUAAAAGAAUUUAUAUAUUAUUUUCGCAAAAAAUAUAUAUUUACUAGCUUAUUAAAUUUAGUUAAAAAAUGGAAGAAAAGACACCAAAAAUUAGUACUGACCUUUUGGUGGGGAAGGAAAAUAAUGAGAGAGGAUUUCAUUACAGAACGAAGCAGCAGAAGAAAAAAUCUUUGCCCACAUCAUCAAAAAAGGCUAGGCUUAAAAUGUUUAUAGCUAGUGUUACUAAUUAAUGAACAUCUUAUAGUAUCAAAAGUUGAAAAAAUAUAUCUACUGAGAAAGAAGACGACACGAAGAUGCAAAUCAAAACAAAAUCAAAUCUCGACAGGGACAAAGAAGAUCGAACAGACAAGAAAAGUUGUACAAAUAUUACUAGUGAUGAAGUCACUUUCCUAUUACUAGUACUGUUACAAUUUUACACGGACAACUCUGAAGAAAGAAAAUAAACUGGGAAGACCAACCUAUGAGAACCCAUAAAUAGGACUUCAAUGGAGGGAGGGACAAAUUGAUAUUCAGUGGAAAGAAAACGGCUAGGGUAUGAUCAACAUAUAGGUUUUGUAUAUAGAGAGAAAAAGAAUUGCUUUACCUUAUUUGAUGAUUCAGUUCCAUCCCCUUACGGUGUCUGACUGCGACAGUUUUGGGGAGAGACACUGAGGGAGAAACUUUAACGCCUGUGGUCUGCUUGUCCCGUUGUUGUAGCCUAUAUAUAUAUCUCGAAGCGCAAGUUUUGCCUCGAAAAGGAGCUUUUACAGAGCAGCGCACGUGUAACCCAGUACCCAAUGUUCAUCUCUGUAGCGGCUUCCAUCGUGUUUAAUAAAAACCCUAACCACUCUGAAUUCAGAAAUAAAAGCAAACCGACAAACUGAGAACCCUAAGCCCAUGACUUCACAUUAGAGCAUUACUGAUCUUACUUUAUUCCAAGUGAUUAUAUGAUCUGCUACUUCUUCCCCAUCAACCCUCGAACACUCGCUACAAACCAAAUCAUCCAUCGUUCUUUUCUUAGUCAUUAUAACCAUGAUAACGUUAAAAUUUACUAUAAGAUUACCA
rnacentral:lncRNA from 1 species